AACGGGGGGGCUGGCGAUAUUCGUCCUGGACUGGGCGUAUAGGGAUUGUAGGCGGCUUAAUUCUAUUUGGCACGAAAAGCUGAAGUUUACUUAUGCAGCUGCCUCAUAUUGAUAUUCUUGGGUUUAAUUGGGGAAAAUGGUACUCCUGGUGGAGAAGGUAAUAUUCUGAAAUAUCGGCGAGGACUAUCAAGUGGCGAAGGCGGUUUUCCUGUUUUAAUUACUCACGCUCAUGGAUC
rnacentral:rRNA from 1 species